UUUGCUGCAUAAUCCACUCUAAUGCUCUGCUCUACUUCUGAUGUUUUCAUAUUAUCCUAUGCAACAAGAUAUUCUAGGUAUGUUGCACUUUGUAUUCAUUGUAAAUAUUUUCAUAUAUCCCUGUAGACCUUUGAUGAAUUGGAAUGAAUUUUUGUAAUUCAAGCACGCUUCUUGAAAAAAAAGUUGAUACUCAAAGAUGGCAUUUGCCCACCAGUAAGUGGGGGAUCAUCCGUGGUUGCCUUUCCUGCUCUUUCUCUUCCUACUUUCUACAUAGGAAUUAUGUAAAAAUUUGAAAGACAAAUCAUUGUUUACAAUUCUUUGUAGAAUUGAGACCAUGAUCAUUUAAUGCCUCUUUUCAGAAGUACGUAUUGCAAGGAGCUUAGUUCGCUGCUUGGAAAGAUGCAAGCCCUCCUCACAUCUUUAUGUUGAAAAAUGUGGCAACAUCAUGUAACUGAGAGCUUUUGAGCUAGGUGUUGCCUCCAGACUGCAACCAUAUCCUUUUGAUGGAGGAUAUUGCAGAGUUUCCCUUCUUGGUCAGACUGCAAUAUUAGUGGCACUGACAAAAAAAGAGUCACUUCCAUAAUACUGGCUCCUGUCUUUCACCCCCGCCAUCUUUCACUUGGAGCAGCAUAAGAGCUGAAGAACAAUGACCUACAAGUGUCUUCAACACUUCAUCUAUCUUGAAGAUAUGGAAAUUGCUGACUGCUCUUAGCUCUAGUCGCUAAAAAAAGAGUUGUUGGUGUCCUCCCCUGCUUCCACUAUGCAUGAAAAAUAUGGUUUUCAUUGUCCAAAUUACCAUAUAAUAAGAGAAAGGAAGGGAAAGAAUGGCCCUAAGGUUUCUGAUAUAAACUGCAUAGCUUUCAAUAGUGAGCUAAUUCUAUAUUGAAUCUUGCUUGUCAGUCGCAAGAGCUUGACCUCGGGGGCGUAAAGGUACGUUCUUCUGUUAGAUUCAUUUUCUUGGAAUGCUCCAGUGCCUCAAAUAACGGGAGCAUCAUUUGCUGUGCAUAUGAUCCCAGCUUCUUGAUGAUAAUUUUGUCAACUUACUCUUUAGUUCUUGUUUCUCUUUCAGAAUUUUUCUCCAUGUUCAUGGCCAACUUUGCAAAACAUAGGAUUUGCCUACUCCAAGGAUCCUAUCGAAAAAGUGCUAGCCACAUCAUACUUCUUGCCUUGCAUUUGCAAAUUACAUGUUCAAGAAUUUUUCAACAUUUGAGAGAAAAACUUCAAAUCAUCACUAUUACUACCACUAUCACAUCCACUAAGAAAUGGAGAUUAGAGUUAAAGAACUAAACGCAAAGCAGAUUAUGAAACUUCAAAAGGAAAUUAAGAUUCCAACCUUUUCUGCAACUAAUGCAAUGGCUCUGAGGGCAGCAGCGGGUCCCUUCGUUUGUUUCAGGUGAAGAGAGGGGAGCUUGGUAGCGCUCGAGGCAGCUAUUUCUACUAUGUAGAUCUGUAGCUGUAAACUCAUGUUUUGAAUGGUUUCUGAUUUUGGAAAACACGUGGAGUUGGAAUUUUUCUAGAGAAAUGUCUGGACGCUGAUUCGCAAAUUCGAGUGCAUCUUAGUUAUUCGGUGGGUGCAAAAUGGCCUUUAUGCAAUCUGUUGGCAAAAUUUCGAUCUCUUCUAUAACAGCUUCAUGUGUCAGUUGCUCAUGUCUUUCGAGAACCAAAUUCGAUAGCAGAUCCCUUGGCUUCACUUUCCUUGAAUGGGCAGCAUGUUUUCAUUUGGAACCAGCUACCUAGUCAAUGUAGGUCGCCAUUGCACUGAACAAAUUUGAUUUAUCUUAAUUGAGGCAUCGUUGUCGGACAAACUGGUAUGCCUUUUUCAUUGAAUAUAAUCUACGGUCUGAUUGUGUUCGUCACUUGCAACCAAG